rnacentral:rRNA from 1 species
UACGUAGGUGGCAAGCGUUGUCCGGAUUUAUUGGGCGUAAAGCGAGCGCAGGCGGUUCCUUAAGGCUGAUGUGAAAGCCCCCGGUUCAACCGGGGAACUUCCUUGGAAACUGGGGCACUUGAGUGCAGAAGAGGAGAGUGGAAUUCCAUGUGUAGCGGUGAAAUGCGUAGAUAUAUGGAGGAACACCAGUGGCGAAGGCGACUCUCUGGUCUGUAAUUGACGCUGAGGCUCGAAAGCGUGGGGAGCAAACAGG